AAAAGAAACCAACAGGGAUUGCCCCAGUAACGGCGAGUGAAGCGGCAAGAGCUCAAAUUUGAAAUCUGGCCUCCCUUGGGGGGUCCGAGUUGUAAUUUGUAGAGGAUGCUUCGGGUGUGGCCGCCGUCUAAGUUCCUUGGAACAGGACGUCGUAGAGGGUGAGAAUCCCGUCUUGGGCGGCCGGUCCGCGCCCGUGUGAAGCUCCUUCGACGAGUCGAGUUGUUUGGGAAAUGCAAA
rnacentral:rRNA from 1 species